GUAUCCAUGAGUGAUCUUAUGGGCACAGCAUUUGAAGGGUCAAUUUUAGGCAUUAAUAUGCAACAAGAGGACGAAAUUCUUCUUCAAAGUGAUGAUGUAGAAGUUGACCCAGCAAAAAAACGGUUAAUAAAUACACCAGUUAAAAGAAUAAUGAGUAACUGCAAAUAGGAAAAGAACAAAAGUCAUUAAAUCUGCACGGAAAAAUGCAAAUGAUUAUUUAAAGGAGAAAUCAGACAGAGAACAAAAAAUUAAAUUAAAGCAAAUAGAUUUAGAGGAUAUGAGGCUAAAAAUUCAAGAAAGAAAACUUGUUUUUGAAGAAAAGAGAGUAGAGGUCGAGUUAUUAGAGCGCCGAGACAAAAGUGAUUUGGAAAAAGCAAGAAUAAAUCUGGAGGUUACAGAGAAACAAAAUCUUCACGAGCUUAUCAAGUCGCAGCAAACCAUCAUUAAUCAUUUGGUAUUACGCUUACGAAAGUAUGAACCUGAAAUGUCGUAAGAAUUGGUUACCUGCUUCUAGAAUUCUUAGUUCCUGUUGGUUUCUAAGAAAAAAAACGACUUGAAUUUACGUACAUGAUUAUUAUUAUUAGUUUCAAAUUAUGAUCUAAUUUUGGAAAGUGCUCUUUGCAAAAUCUUGUAGCAUUCAUAGUUUUUGCGAAAAAAAUAUUUCUGUUUUUUUGCUACUUAACAAUGCAACAAGGUGCAAA
rnacentral:misc_RNA from 1 species